UGCUGCUGCACACCUCGGGUUUCAUACCAUGUUACACUCCUUGGAUAAACUCCCUUCAAAACAAACCAUGUUCUGAAUUAAUGAAAAAAGAUGCAUUAAGAAAUUUCUGUAAACAUACACGAAGCCAAAAAUAUCUGAACAGCUUCUGUGUUUACUUGCAAAAAAAUCUCACCAUAUGGUUACUGAUCCUUUGUGCAGAAUGACAGGCCUUUUAAUCAGGUGACAUUUACUGGUUGUAGUGUAAACUGUUGUUUUAUUUCUGGCUGUAUUUAAUAGAAAUUUCCCAUUAUAUUUACUCUAAUUUUCUUCAGUAAGAAUUCUCUUCAGGAAGAACCAGGUAGUUUGCUGUUUUCUGUUACUCUGAAGUUAGAUUGCCAAGGUUGUGUUUUGAUGUAUGAACUAAAAAGCACUUGGCAAGAAAAUAACAGAGAUGCAACUUAACAUAGUUUAGGUAUUUUAAAGAAGGAUUUGAAUGUGGCUAUGUGGCACCAUUAAAGCUGAAAAAUAAUUCUCAAAAUAGACCUGACUUGGUCCAUUUAGUCAUUGUUUUACUUGGCACAUCUGCUAGAUGUAAUCUGUGAUAUUCCAGUCAUUUAGGUAGGUGUGAUGGGGCCAGUCAUUUAGGUAGGUGUGAGCUGCAAGUUGUUGUGCUGGGAUUCCAAAUUUCCCAGAAAAAGCAACACAGAAAGGGAAAACAGGGAGUUGGGCUUGUUGCUUUAGACUGAACCAGAGCUUCAUAAGCAUGAAAGUUAAGACAGGGUUUGUUCACUUGUAAAACUGAGGGAUGUUGAAUGAAUGUAUUACUGAAAAUCAGACUGAUAGCUAUUUUUCACAAGUUACUCUAAAGCAUGUGCUUUUCCUAGCAGAGUUUAAACCUAUUUUUUGCUCAUCACAUUAAAGCUCAUGUUAUUCUACCUAAAAGAGGAAAAAAAAAAGUGCUUUUACCAGCUUGCCUAACCAUGGAUGAUAUUUCAGGAAAAGGUCUUAAAAGGUUAAUGAGUGUAUCCAGUCUCAUAUCACAUAUAAUAUAUAGAUCAUUGCAUUCACUAAUCUAUUAAUUUUCUACUUGGACCUCCAUCAGUGACCUCAAAUAUUUACAUGUUCACUCUGCCUUUGAGGCAGAAAGUCUAAUCUUCACUGUUGCUUUGAUACAUUUGAAUAGAAGAAUUAUGGUGUGGUAUAUGAGACAUAGAUAAUCCCCACUCUAAACAGAACACUUGAUCUUCCCAUGCAUUUCUCUGGAAUAUUGGGGUAAAUUUUCAGUGACUGUUACUACACCAAACUUAAUCCUAAAGAAAAUUGCUUGAAUUUUACUAGUCAUUUUUUCCUCUGUGUGAUCAAUUCUGUACAGAUGUUGAUGCAGUGAGGAAGUGUUCAUAGGAAAAAGGGAAUAAUUAAUCCCAUACAGUAAUUAAUAUAUCUUCAGUAUUGCCAAUUGCUUAGAAAUACUGGAUGAUGUUAUUGGGUUUAGAUUUUCUGCUUUAUAGUUGUAAAAAGGAUAUAGGUAUAUAUAAUAUAGAGGUAACUGAUAAAUUCCUUCUCAAAUCUAAAGCAGUAUGAUAAAUUUCACAACUCUGUCAAAUGGAUUUGCUGUAAGUAAAACAGACUCUAUAGCAUACCCCUUGUUGUUCAAACCUUUCAUCAAUUAAUUUUAACUAUUUAAAUUGAAAUAUUUCUCAGUGAAGUACAUGGCUCUUCUUCAAAGGCAACGUUGCUCUUCUUCAAAGGCACUUACUUCCUAAUAUAUUGGAUGACUGCUGUGAAAAUACAGUGCAUUUAACUGCUAUCAUGUGUAUGAAGUAUUAUAUAGAGCAGGGGGAUAUAUUUAAAAGGUGUUGUCUGUCAGCUAUUUAGAUCCCUAUUUACAGGUAGAUAGGCCUACCAGACACACCUAAAAUGUGAAUUUCUUUCUUCAAUACUAACCAAAACUAACUGAUAUGUACAAUUUUAAUUUAAGUAGUGUUAAAAUAGGGAUCAGCCAAACCAUUUUUUAAGGAAAAAAAGUUAUUUUUUUUUCCUCUUCCUGCACUCAGAAUCUGUUGUCAAGCCACCCAAGCCUUGGUCUUAGAGCCACUUGCUCGUAACCAAUGCAUAAAUACUAUGAAACAUCCUCUGACAGUGGAAUUAGACACAUCAUUCAACAGUUAAACCGUGAUGGAGACAUUAAACUGUUGUGUCUCAUUCCAUUACCAAGAUAUCUGAGUGAGUGUUCAGGUUUUAGAUAAUCAUAAGUGUUGGAUUUUUAUAUUGCUGCAACAAAUUUUUUUAUUCUGCAGCUGUGAUGAAUCAAAUGAUGCAGCCUCAUCUGUAUGUCCAGACUGGGUUUUAGAAGCUGGUGGUUUAUGCAAUCAUUUUCUGUUUUGUUUAAUCUAGAUUGGCUACAUGGAUGUAGAAGAGCCCAGGUUCUGAGCACAGCCCUUUAAAGGUGUAAUAGUUAAAUUUUCAGAAUAUAGAAAUAUACAAUACCAUUAAUUAAAGUAUUAAAACAAAGGCAACUAAACCUGGCAAAAGGAAAUGCAGUUUCAUACAGAGAAUGUACUGCAAUAGAAAAAACAGACAUACAGCAUUCAAAUCAGAAAUGGAAUGUAUGGAUUUAUAACUAUCACUAAUAUCUCUCCAUAUAUAUAUAAAAUUUUAUCACAGAUUUAUAACAGACUGUGAAUAACAAGAUUAAGAAAAUAAUACCUUGAAAAGAAAUAAAUCCAAGCCUUCACCGAAAUAUCAAGAAACUCUUCAAGGUAUGAUAGCUGAAAAUGCAUUUUUCCUUCAGAAAAUGGGGCUAAAACUACGAAAAUGGAAGGAAGUUUUAUAGUAGAAUACAUUAGCCAGACUAGAAAGAUCGUUAGACAUUUUUCAGAAACUAAACAUGAAUUUUUACUUUACCAGCAGUGGCCAGGAAAUUUUCCUGACAUACUAGAAAAACAUCUGCAGAAACGAAUAUUUUAGGUAUACAAUAUGAUUUUUAAAAUUAAUUGUUGAACCCUAUUCCCAGGGAUGUGUGUGGGGGUGUGGUACAGUGGGAAGCAGAUUAAAAAGAGAAUCCUUUAUCCAUACAUAGCCCUGAUAAUUAUGGCUAAACGCAGGAUUUACAGCUGAACAUAUUGUUUGGUUUUGUUUUGGCAGCAAAUCCACAUGAUGAUGUAUUAUGUUGAUCUUCUGAUAGCUAGGAUUACCUAUGAACUGCUGGCUCAGAACAGAGCUCAUUUCUCUGAAACAGCAAGCACUGACCACUUCCUGAGGCAGUCUUCUAGAUGAGCUGAGGAAUGCAGAACCCAAGAAGUCAUUGGUGCAGUAAUGUAAAGAGCUCGGAUCUCCCAAAACUCAGCCGCUUCAUUUGAAUUCAAAACACUGGACAACCUUGCAAUGUUGGUAACUUGACUGCUAUGUUUUUCUAAUGGAGGAAUCACAUCAAAAGCACAUACACUCUACAAAUUCAAAUGGAGCAGCAUGACAGCAAACAGCAAGGUACUGUUUUGUGUUGCACUUGGCCAGAAAACUUUUCUUGAAAGCUACAGACAAUCCAUGGCUCGUUUCACCCACCCUGAGAAUGAAACAGACCCUGCACUGAGAGAACAUAAUACUAUGUUAGGAUGAAGAAGGACAUCCAUUUGGUAAAACAGAAUUAACUAUUGACACUACUGAGUAACAUUGUUCUAGUCUGAAACCUACAGCCGUUAAACAUGAAACCGUGGUAAAGUC